UGCUUCUGGAAGCUUUGUUCUUUAAUGAGCCAUAGGGUGAUUUGUUCAUCAAGCUGCUUUUGUGUAGCCAUACAGUGCAUAUUUUGAGUGACACAAACUGCACUUUAUACAGAUGAUGUCUUGUUACCCCUCAACCCCCCGCAAAGAAAAAAAACAAAAAGGAAAUUACAAAGUGCCUGUUGAUUGCAUCCGGAAUGUAAUCAGUUCCGUGGGUGAGACAAAUCAUUCUUCUUAUAGAAUUAUUCUAUUAAACAGUAAAAUGUUAUAUUUCACAGGAUAUGUCCUUUUAUAAUACAGUUCUUUAAAAAUUUACACUCAGCAUACUUAUAAAUUACUUAAAAUCCAUUAAAUAUAAUACUAAUCUGUAGUCCACACCUUUCCCAUAGUAAAUACAAAUACUUGUGGUUCAAAAGGUGCAACUUUUAUAUGACCUCAGAGGGCUGAUAAAUAGGCAUUAAGAAUGGAUGACUAGCAAGGUGACAGGCCCAUUGUGGGGGCUUUUUUGAAAAAAGUUUCAACCAGGGGACCAAUAUGAGACCUAACAGAUCCAUCUCCACAAUCAUCAUUUUGCUGUUACCCUUUCAAUACCAAAUUAAAUGUGGGAGUCAUUCCAGAGAAAAGUGUUUGUUAAAAGUAGUCUAGGGCACAAAAAGAGAGGACUCCCACAGAUACCACGGAGUUUUACUACCAAGUCCAGCAUGGUAUUGGGGGACAGUGCUGGGGAGUUGUCACAAGAGUAUGGGUGGACGUAACACAUUUGUCCAUACAGAAUGAUGCAUGUCCCGCAUCCAGCUUCCCACCAAGAAGAAAAAAGAGAGGAGGAUGAGGAAAGCCAUAGAGUAUGUUUCUUUUUAAAAUGAAAACUCUCUUAGCUUUGAAUACAUCCUGAGAAUCCUUUCUUCUUUCUAGUUUACCAAAGUGCUUGUUACAGUUAAAAACACAGACCACAGGCACUGAGGUGGGACUAUAGAACCCUGCUGGACCACAUCUUUUCAGCACACUUCUGACCCUCUGUUUUUGUGACCCUCUGUUUUGGAUGGUGAAAACAACUCUACCGUUAUGAAACACAGAACGGAGUCUGCAUUAAUCUUCCAGCAGGAUAAGUGCUCUGGCAGGUUUCCAAAGCAAGAGAAGAUGGGGGCUCUAGUAUUCCAUCCCAGGACCUCUGGCCCUUUUGUCUCUCUCUGCAAGGCUCAUAGUUGGAGGGCUGUAUCUCCCUUUGUGUUUUCAGAAGCCCAGAGUGGCAAAAUAAUUUAAAUGGCAGGAGGUACAAAAUACGUUGUAAACUAAGCCUCCCUGAAUCCUGCUGGAUUUGCUGUUAAUUUGCUUCAAUUUGUGAUACAGAAUGAAAUCACACUUCUCUGCUUUUGUUACAUUUUCCAUAAUAAGUACAUACUAAAUUACAGGAAUACAUUCACUUUAAUGGGCAGAGUUGAAAAUUCAGGUUUUGUUUGGGGCUGGGAAUGUGUGCUAGAAGUAGAGUGCUCUGCAUUUUGGAGUAUGGGCUCCAAAUGUGGAGCUGCCCCACUGCUGCCAUGCAGAUC
rnacentral:lncRNA from 1 species